UUGGCCUUGCUCAUUAGCCCAAAGAGAGAAGACCCUCCUUUUGAAGAAGAUGAUACAUACCUGCUAGUCAAAUGCAGUGCAGUAAUUUUAAUAUUGAUAACAAAAAAGCUAAAUAUAGUUUAUUCAGUAUUAAAAUCCCCAUUACUCAGUGUUGAAGAAGUCAUGGUUCCUGGGGAGAAGUUGGCCACAGAGAAAAUGCAACCUUCUUUGCUGGAAGCCGAUGAUUUGGAAAGUGAGAUGCUGCAACUGGGAGAGAUAAGGAGGAGGCGUAUGAUCCGACGGGCUACAUGGAGGCGUGCGAAGCGUUACAGGUGGUGCCUGCCUAUAACUUCCUGAGGAACAUGCACAAUAGCGAGCUAUCCAUGAUGCAUCGCUGUCUGGGGCCUCAGACUGAUAUGCUUCUGGUGGGGGAAACUUCUGUGUAGCAAUACAGGCGGAGUCACCUACUCAAAGGAGACACGGGGAGAGCUGGAGCUUUGAUGUCAAACACUGAUGGGUUUAUUUGGAGCUUCGGCCGGAGAA